rfam:Rhizoclosmatium globosum strain JEL800 BCR33scaffold_210, whole genome shotgun sequence.
GCUCUUGUAACUCAGUGGUUAGAGUGCCUGUCUUAUAUGGAAUGCAACAUCCGUAUGCACGCAGGAGGCCGUGAGUUCAACCCUCACCUAGAGCA